rnacentral:rRNA from 1 species
UACGAAGGGGGCUAGCGUUGCUCGGAAUCACUGGGCGUAAAGGGUGCGUAGGCGGUUGGGUGUGUCAGAUGUGAAAUCCCGAGGCUUAACCUCGGAACUGCGUCUGAAACUACUCGACUAGAGUACUGGAGAGGGAAACGGAAUUCACGGUGUAGCAGUGAAAUGCGUAGAUAUCGAGAGGAACACCUGCGGCGAAGGCGGGUUGCUGGGCCGACACUGACGCUGAGGCGCGAAAGCCAGGGGAGCGAACGGG